CUCAGAUGAAACUGCUUGAGAGUUUGUUGAAGUCCGGGAUGGGGCUGGAAGCUGGUGCCCUCCAUGUUGUCGCCGGGGGUAGGAAGGAAAAAGGGA